GGGGGGGGGGGGGGGGGGGGGGGGGGGGGGGGGGGCGGGGGGUGGGGCGGGGCUGGGGGGGGGGCUGAGUGGCGAAGGGGGGGGUGGGGCGGGGGGCGGCGGCCCUUGACCCUGGGAUACGGCUGGGAAAGUGGGUCUGAUACCGGACAGGCGCGUCCGCCGCCUGGUGGGUGUUGGAGAGCUUUCUCGGCUGUGGAUGGACUAGCGGCCUAUCAGCUUGUUCGUGAGGUGAUGGCUCACCAAGGCGACGACGGGUAGCCGGCCUGAGAGGGGGACGAGCAACACUGGGACUGAGACACGGCCCAGACUGCUACGGGAGGCAGCAGUGGGGAAUAUUGCACAAUGGGCGAAAGCCUGAUGCAGCGACGCCGCGUGAGGGAUGACGGCCUUCGGGUUGUAAACCUCUUUCAGUAGGGAAGAAGCGAAAGUGACGGUACCUGCAGAAGAAGCACCGGCUAACUACGUG
rnacentral:rRNA from 1 species